GGCGCAUACAAAGAGAAGCGACCUCGCGAGAGCAAGCGGACCUCAUAAAGUGCGUCGUAGUCCGGAUUGGAGUCUGCAACUCGACUCCAUGAAGUCGGAAUCGCUAGUAAUCGUGGAUCAGAAUGCCACGGUGAAUACGUUCCCGGGCCUUGUACACACCGCCCGUCACACCAUGGGAGUGGGUUGCAAAAGAAGUAGGUAGCUUAACCUUCGGGAGGGCGCUUACCACUUUGUGAUUCAUGACUGGGGUGAAGUCGUAACAAGGUAACCGUAGGGGAACCUGCGGUUGGAUCACCUCCUU
rnacentral:rRNA from 1 species